UUCAAACCCCUCACACCUGAGAGAGCUGGACCUGAGUAACAAUGACCUGAAGGAUUCAGGAGUGAAGCUGCUCUCUGAUGGACUGGGGAAUCCCCACUGUAAACUGGAGACUCUGAGACUCACUGGCUGUAAAAUCACAGACACAUCCUGGAAAGUGUUGGCCUCAGUUCUCAGUUCAAACCCCUCACACCUGAGAGAGCUGGACCUGAGUAACAAUGACCUGAAGGAUUCAGGGGUGAAGCUGCUCUGUGCUGGACUGGAGGAUCCCCACUGUAAACUGGAGACUCUGAGACUCACUGGCUGUAAA